ACGGGUGAGUAACGCGUGAGCAAUCUGCCUAGUGUGAAGGGGGGAUAAACCGUUUUGGAAACCGAACGCUAAUACCGCAUGAAGCAUUGGAAUCGCAUGUUUCUGAUGCCAAAGAUUUAUCGCACAUAGAUGGACCCGCGUCUGAUUAGCUAGUUGGUAAGGUAACGGCUUACCAAGGCAACGAUCAGUAGCCGACCUGAGAGGGUGAUCGGCCACAUUGGGACUGAGACACGGCCCAAACUCCUACGGGAGGCAGCAGUGGGGAAUAUUGCACAAUGGGGGAAACCCUGAUGCAGCAACGCCGCGUGAAGGAUGACGUAUUUUCGGUAUGUAAAACUUCUAUCAGCAAGGAAGAUGAUGACGGUACUUGACUAAGAAGCCCCGGCUAACUACGUG
rnacentral:rRNA from 1 species